rnacentral:misc_RNA from 1 species
AUCCAUCAACUCGCUGUAAGGGUCUGAAGAUGCGCUGCAGGGCUCCAAUACUCCCCAAGCAACCACAGCUUCGAGCUGCCCGCCCUUCCCGCUCGCCUCGACUCGCUCCAGUUCCUCCUCCCGAUCUUCAUCAGUUGGACGAACAGGCUCGCGACCGGCAGCUUGCGGCGGACUCGAAGCUGGCGAAAAGAGUUUGCAGUGGUGUGUUUAUUCGGAGCAGCUGCUCACGCAACCGACGCAGGAUCGGCCGGCCCGCUUCGACCUCGACGCACCUUCCUUCUCCCUCGACCUGCCCCUCGCUCGCGCCUCGCCCGGGGCUUUGCGUGCGAACGUGGCCACGUUGCUACUGUAUGAAGCUUCGACCUACUAUUGAGGUGCUCACAGAAACCGAGUGGGUACUUUCGGACCUGGCUCGGUUGUGCUGGUGUUCGCUCCUCUUGCCGCACCGGACAGACAUGCGAUGCGGUCCUCCCGCCUUCUCGCACCCCGUUGCCGUUUGAGGCGUACUCAAGCUCGCCCUGCCCGCAGCACGUACAAGCUCAUCCGCCGAGCGCUUCUUGGAGGUUCCCGUUUGCAGUCCACUUGACGAAGCAGACGACGCAGGCGACCCCGGACCACAACAAGCAGUCGUCGCUCGACAAGGAAUGGACGGCUCGUUCUUCGACUCGAACGGGAUGGGAUCUGAUGCUCGCGACAGGUGUAUCCGGGACGCGAAGGGCCUCGGCAAGGACGGUUACGACCAGACUAGCUUCAACAAGGACAGCAAGAACCGCAACGAGGCGCCUCGCUCAGCGCGGCUACGACGCCUCGGGCGAGUACGUCAUGUCGACGUCACAAGCGGGAGCUAUCGACGCGAAAAGCGGGAGUUAUCGCGCAACAUUCGGGUCGAACCUUUCCUCGACAGUCGUCUCUCCUCACUGCUUUCGCUUCUCCCUUCCUCCCCCUCUUCUCACAUGUGCCGCCCGUUCCAACCGCGGUGCGGGAUCCUCCUUUCUCUCCGUCGUAGCUCUUUGUCGUGCAUUGUUCGUUGGAACGCAGCUUUCGCUCCUCGUCUGGC